rnacentral:rRNA from 1 species
CCCCUAGAUGUUCUGGGCCGCACGCGCGCUACACUGAACAGUUCAACAAGUCUUAACCUUGGCCGAUAGGUCUGGGUAAUCUUUGAACGCUGUUCGUGAUUGGGAUAGACCUUUGCAAUUAUGGGUCUUCAACGAGGAAUUCCUAGUAAACGCAAGUCAUCAGCUUACAUUGAUUACGUCCCUGCCCUUUGUACACACCGCCCGUCGCACCUACCGAUUGAAUGGUCCGGUGAAAUCUCGGGACGGCGGCUUGGUCGCUUGCGUCCGACUGCUGAAACUUGAUUAAACCAUAUCAUUUAGAGGAAGGUGAAGUCGUANCA